UUAAGCGUUGAUAGUGACAGCGAGCAACUCUGAUUUGGAUGAAAAAAUGAGAAUGGUUGUCAGUCAUGGUGCGGCAAUCACAAGAUGGAAUCGCUAAGUCUUUGAGAAGUUUCAGCAUUGACCAAGGGACGCAGACCGAAAACGUAUCAACGGAUGAAUUUAAGUUCUGGAUGUUAUUCUGCGAGAAGCAAUUCCAUUGGCACAGAAUCGUUCUGGAGCCGGCAGAUUCCGUCUAUUGUGAAAUGCUGAAAAUAAUGAUAUUGCUCUGAUUUAUUAGGAUUCAUUUUUUAAUAAAGUGUGAAUUUUUAUGGUUAUCACAAAA